rnacentral:rRNA from 1 species
AGUGAACGCUGGCGGUAGGCCUAACACAUGCAAGUCGAACGGCAGCACAGUAAGAGCUUGCUCUUACGGGUUGCGAGUGGCGGACGGGUGAGGAAUACAUCGGAAUCUACUUUUUCGUGGGGGAUAACGUAGGGAAACUUACGCUAAUACCGCAUACGACCUACGGGUGAAAGCAGGGGAUCUUCGGACCUUGCGCGAUUGAAUGAGCCGAUGUCGGAUUAGCUAGUUGGCGGGGUAAAGGCCCACCAAGGCGACGAUCCGUAGCUGGUCUGAGAGGAUGAUCAGCCACACUGGAACUGAGACACGGUCCAGACUCCUACGGGAGGCAGCAGUGGGGAAUAUUGGACAAUGGGCGCAAGCCUGAUCCAGCCAUACCGCGUGGGUGAAGAAGGCCUUCGGGUUGUAAAGCCCUUUUGUUGGGAAAGAAAAGCAGCAGGUUAAUACCACGCUGUUCUGACGGUACCCAAAGAAUAAGCACCGGCUAACUUCGUG